rnacentral:lncRNA from 1 species
CACAGAGAGCCUUUCCAGAGCAGCAGGUGCGCCGAGGACGGGGACUCAGGUCAAUUCUCUGAUAAAAUCAGAAAGCUGAUGGCCAGGCAUGGUGGUGUGUGACUGUGGUCCCAGCUACUCACAAGGCUGAGAUGGGAGGAUCGAUUAAGCCCAGGAGGUGGAGGCUGCGGGAAGCCAUGACUGAGACACUGCACUGCAGCCUGGGCAACAGAGCGAGACCCUGUCUCUAAAAAACAAAUAACAAAACCAAAACAAAAGCAAGCAAGCAGAAAC